UCCUGGCUCAGGAUGAACGCUGGCGGCGUGCCUAACACAUGCAAGUCGAGCGGAGAUAGGUUGAAGCCUAGCGAUUCUUAUCUUAGCGGCGGAUGGGUGAGUAACACGUGGGUAACCUGCCCUGUACUGGGGGAUAACAGCUGGAAACGGCUGUUAAUACCGCAUAUGCGCACGGAGCCGCAUGGCCCUGGGCGGAAAGAUUCAUCGGUACAGGAUGGGCCCGCGCCGGAUUAACUUGUUGGCGGGUAACGGCCCACCAAGGUGAUGAUCCGUAGCCGACCUGAGAGGGUGACCGGCCACAUUGGGACUGAGACACGGCCCAAACUCCUACGGGAGGCAGCAGUGGGGGAUAUUGCACAAUGGGGGAAACCCUGAAUGCAGCGACGCCGCGUGAAGGAAGAAGUAUUUCGGUAUGUAAACUUCUAUCAGCGGGGAAGAAGAUGACGGUACCCGCACAAGAAGCCCCGGCUAACUACGUGCCAGCCGCCGC
rnacentral:rRNA from 1 species